rnacentral:miRNA from 1 species
CCUCAGUAAAUGUUUAUUGGAUG